rnacentral:lncRNA from 1 species
UCGGGGUGUGGCUUUGUUCUAUAAUCAUCUUAAUGAGUUAAGCCACUAGUGUUAACACCGCGCGUUGCCCAGUGUAGCUGACCAAUACCACAAAAAGCAGAAACGCGAUUUGGGCAUACCUUUCUGUUAUUAGCGAAUUGCAUCGUUCGCCUUCUAAGGCUGAAUGGGGAAGGAGAGAUAGUAGUGAUAAGAAAAAGAUGGAUUGAAGACUAUUGUAAAUAAGAGUAGGACAAACGGCCAUUGGGAAAUACCCGUAGAAGUUGGUUGCUCCGGCUAAUUAAAUUUAAAGCAUAUUUGGUAGUGAAUUUCGUAAAUUGAAGUAGUUUCGGACACAGUAAUUGAUGAGCUAGAUGAAACAGGUAUAGUUUAUUAACAUUGUUUCAAUUCGUUGAAGGUUUCCAAAUCGUUGUAUCCAGUACCCAGUUCGCAUCGACGGUAUCCUAGAAGGGAAGAAAAUUGAAGUAAAUUACUCUGUGGUAGUCGAGCGAAAGUAGGCGAAGAAGUUGGAAAGUUGGAAGUGAAGAUAAGCUGUACGGAAGUGGUCUAGGGCGUAAAGGAGAAACCAAAUAUUUUUGAGCUGCCACUAAAUAAAGGUGUUUGCUACAAGGAAU